GCAGGAUCCCAGCCAGAGGUUUUGGAGGAGUCCAGGUAGAAAACGAUCAUACUCGCGACUUUUAAUGGGGUUUAUGAGGCACGCAAAGUGCCUAAGAUCCCUGCAGAGAGCCUGGCGGCCCCCUCCACAUGAGACACCACUGUCCUUGCAACUCGGUCAAAGGGCACUUCACAGUGACAAAGCAGUAAUGGGGCAAAUGGUACUGUGAACCCCCUGGUGGGCGGGGCUAUCAUAGGCUGUCAAUCACUGAAGGUUUAACAUAAUAGGAAUCAAAAGAAAUCUGUGCACAUACAAACCAGCACAGAUUUUGAAGCCUCUAUCUUCCACUGAAACAGUUCUGAGUGAGGCAGCUUUUAACUUCAGUAAACCAGGUCAGACCGCCAAAUGGCCCAAUGAUUUUUAAUUUUGUCAAAUUUGUCACUUAGAGCUAAAAUGAAACCCAAUGUACAUUAAUAACUGAUCGAAAAUGAGAUACAGACCACAAAGCAUUAAAGCAAAUCCAAACACAUUAUCUGUACUGGGAAGAGUUUUUCUUUUCCUUCUAGGCUUAUGACACAGCUGUCUAGUGUCCCCCAGAAAGAGCGGCACAACGUUCAGCACAUCUAAGAACACUUACAUAAGUGAGACAGGCAUUCAGAGGAGAUAUUUUACAACUAGAGAAAAUGCAAUAUUUCAUGCUGCAGGGAAGUACUGAAAGGUCCAACAAACAUGACACAACAAUAGGACAAGUCACUCAGGUCAUCAGGUGUGAUUCAGGGGGUUAGGCAAGGUCCCCCCCGGAAAUGUUCCAGGGGUGUCAGAUAAGAGACCUGACCCCGUGCUCAGACCCCAAGCUUCACUCUCAUCUCUAUGAAUAUGUGUGUGACCCUUUAAAAAGCAGAGCAAGCUCCACGGCUACUGGUUGGCUGGGCUCCGGUCUUCCUUACCUGAGCAUGUGAAGUUGGACUCGUCUUCACCAUCACUGCAGUCGCUGGUGCCGUCACAAAGCCACCUCUUGGGGAUGCAGCGGUUGCUCCUGCAUUUGAACUGGUCUAUGGGGCAGCUGUGGUUAUCUGAGGGAAAAACAGAGGGGUGGGGGGGGGGGUGGUGUCACUCCAGUAUUUUUUUGGUCUUGUGCAUGUAUAUAGAGCUCUGGAAAAAGAUCCCGCUCAAAAUCGGAAAAAAAAAAUCUGGUUUAAUCCUGGUUCUGCAGGGAGAAGGAUACACUGUGAGGUGGGCAGCUUUCAGGCCCAAAGCUUCUAUGGCAGUAAUACACAAGAGCAAGGUGAAGGAGGAGACACUGGCAAUAAUAUGUAAGUAAAUUAAUGACAAAAGUCGUUGACGCAAAAAAACAAUCAAAUAAAAACCCAUUGCAUUUAAUAACGCUUAAAUAAAAGCCCAAUGCAUUUAAUAACGCUUAAAUAACAACACAUUGCAUUUAAUAACGCUUAAAUAAAAACACAUUGUAUUUAAUAAUGCUUGAAUCUAAGGAGGCUGUAAUUUUAUGUGAAUAUACAUUUAAACAUUGAAUAUUUCGACUGAAAAUAUUUCAGUUGUAAUUUCAUUGGUAAAAUAACCAACACAAAAAUAUUCGGCUCCCACAAUUCAGUUCCAAAAUAUACAGUUUAUAAAGUUCAUUUUUAUAAUUCAGUCACCUGAAUUCAAUGCAUUUACUUUAGUCUCAAAAUAAAUUUCCAACUUCAGUUGGAAACAUUCAAUGUGUUUUAAUGCCAUCUUCAUAAUUCAAGAUGUAAUAUUCAGUCCUUCUGUUUUCGCUUUAUGAAUACACCGCCAAAAUUUCAGUGGUUUACAAUAUGGUUCAAAAUUCAACCUUCUACAUCCGGGACUAGCAGGAUGAGCAAUUGAAUGCUGAUAGAGUUCUUGUCUACAUCCAGAAUCAACUGUGAGCGUGCAAUAAGCACAAAUUCUGUUGCACCGAUUGACAGAAAGGUAGAUUUUCUUUGUGUUAUCACGCACAUGGGUGUUCCAAAGUCAGUUACUGUCGUCUCUCUUCAAUUUAGCUAUUAAAUCUGCCGGCACCAAUUAAUGGAAUGACGUUUCUUGUGGAAAACGAAAGAUCGAUCUGCUGGACAGAUUUAAUAUUUAUUUAAAUGUCACCCAUUGUAUCAAUGUAUCUUGUGGGGUCGAUACUUUGAAAAUGCUUUAAAGAACAGCUGCUAUCUGUCACAUAUUUUAUGUGACGGACGGCAGCUGUUACUUAUCUCCUACUGUAAAAUAUUUUGCGUCACGUUUUGAACCAAUACCAGAUGUGAUUUAUCCGUAUUUUUGGAUCUGCAAAGUUUAUGAUUGGGGACUCUAGGGGAAGACGCAUCAUUGAUUGGUUAUCAGAUCAUUGGUUAAGCGCUGCUGAAAUCUCAUGCCCUUCACUAUGGAGAAUAGCUAGUUCUCCAACGCAGUAAUCUCUAUUAUUUUAAUAGUUUUGUCUUCGGCUCUGUGCCAAGGGACCAGCCAAUCACAGCUAAGCACCUUUUAUUAUGUGGGUUCUAGAUUCCAAGUUAUGGACCACAGCUCCAAUGACACUUAAAACUAAUUUAUUCAGUCUCCAGCACAAAAAACAUUUAGCAGGUAAGCUUACAAAGAAUAGUACAACCAAAAAUCCUACAAUGCCACAUAUUAAUAGAAAAUGACCAUAUCAGCCAUAAUAUAUAAAUAACCUCUAAUUAAUGGACCCAUGAUAAAACAGCCUAAAGGAAAUACCAAUAUGUCCCUUGUUUUGGACCGAUCGCCAGCGGGUGCCUUGUAACUACAUUGUGCAGUCUUAAACCAAACCAGCCUGACGCAUUUUCUUCACAUGUAACCCAUCAGCUUAAGGCGAGGGACACUCACAUGCACCGUCAUCUAGUCAUUCACACAAAUAUAAAUAAAAGCAUUCCUUUAGGAACGUAUAACAGGUGUAGCGGUUUCGCGAUCCAAUUGAAAGCCUCGGGUUCCGGUGCGGGUCGUCCUUUUACUUGCGCUGGUCUCGAUCUGUCCAUCCCCUAAAAUAAUGAGAAAAAGGAAACCCAACACAACUAAACAGAAAAACUCCUGCAUUUCAAUGCUCUCUUCUGUCUUAUCGUCCCAGUAAAUAAAUUUAUAGGUUGUCAGACAACUGGUUACAGGUGGAAUUAACUAGAAUUGAUACGGAAGCAGGGAGAACCACAAACACACAGCACACCACAGCGCACAAAUUACAAAACACAACCAAAUCUUAUUUCUCCACUUUCCAAACUAUCUGCACAUAGUCCAUAUCUAACACUUUGCUGUUGUUCAAUUUUAAUUUUUAUGAAGUUUAAAUAUCGGCUGGCAAUAUCGGCUAAAACUGGAUACAUCUAUAGUUUGAACUAAAGCUGACACCAAACAUUUUGCUUACGUUAGCUAUUUGCAGGAACCCACUGAGUUUUCUAGUUUGCAAGCUAGCUAGCUAAGGUAGUAGAGAUGGGACAACAGCUGACUUUGGGAAAGUCAUAUCUGCGAUGAUACACUCAAAAACAAUCUACCCUUCUGUCUACCAGAGCAUCAGAACUCAGGCAUGAGAACAAAUCCUAGAACAAAAAUAGGAAAGUCUGUUGAGAGCAGACGGGUUGAGGGCGAAGCCCGAGCGGGGGGUGCUCGAAGGGGGUGUCUUGAAAAUUCCCAGUCUAUUUGGAGUGAUUUUAAGCAUAUUUUGUGAUAAAAUUGACACAUUUCUAAAGAAGCUUUACUACCUUUCUGAGUGCUAGAUUACACAUUCCUCAGCUUCAGUUCAUAAUCUAUCACUGAUGGAGAAGAAAACUUCUAUGAGAAGAUCAACCAUACAGAUCAAAGAACUCCUCCAGAUCAAUAACUUCCACAUUUUACAGACUCACUAGAUGCACUUGAAUGUAUAUGCAAGGGGAACUGGCUUGGUAGUACCAUCAAUGUUGUAAAUAUGUAUAAGAGCAAAAAUGAAAGGUCCUCAUCAAGAACAGUCCCUAUCAUAUCCAGGGUCUCUUGAAAGUCACUGGAAUUCAAAAACACAACAACAUCCAUCUGAAUUUGUUCUUCACAGACUUUUCCAAUUCAUUUACGGGCAUAUGAACAGGUAGAAAGCGCCACAUGUUUAACUAGAAUUUAAAGCACAAUAACAGAUGAUUACAACUGCAUGCAUGAUAAUGCAAGUUAACACACGGAUUCACUACGUGACCCGUUUGGACCAAUCAUGUCGAUAGGUUAGUGCUGAAGCGCUCAUCCAAUCACAGUUGACGUAAGAAAAACUACUAUAAUGGGAUGCAGUCCCGCGGUGCCAUGCAUGCAGACGAUAUCAUGUCACGUGGUUCUCUUCAGUGCCUAAUAAGGUCAUGCUACUAUCGUGUCGAUUGAGAAAUCCAUUUCGGCGGGAAUGUAUUCGACGUAAUCACGCAUAAAUUAUGAGCGUUCGGGAUGCGACUUGGGCAUAUAAUCGGAUUACAAGGCGUCUGUUGGACUUCGUAGCUUGAUCUGGCAAUCAAAAACGGAGCUAGGGAGAUUGGCCCCACCCCCAUCCUACCCCCUAUUCUUUUUAUUGCAGAUUUGCAUGAAUCUCAGGACCCAACUUUUUGGCAAUAAAAAAAAUCGGAUUUCCGUCAAAAGUCGGAAAUUUCUCAUGCCUGAGAACUCGUAGGCCUACUCGCAUGUACACUGUUCACUCUGGAUCUAGAAACAAACACUAUCAGCACUCAACUGUUCAUCCUGCUAGUCACAGACUAUAUACAGUUGAAAUGUUCGAUAUUUAGAUGUACAUUCACAUUAAAUUACAGCUCCCAAAUAUUCAAGCAUUAUUAAAUGCAAUGUGUUUUUAUUCAAGCAUUAAUAAAUGCAAUGCAUUUUUAUUCAAUUAGUUUAAUUCAACAUAGUUUUUUGCAUCAACGACUUUUGUCAUAAAUUUACUUCCACAGCAUAAAGCAAGGGAGAAGCCUUUCAUCAGUGAGAAGCAGGGAUGUAAUAGCAAAAAAAUGUACAUUUUACACAGGCGCAUACCCACAAAUAGAGAAAUGAAACAAUUGUUUCCAGAGCUGUAUGUAUGUAUAUAUGUAUAAUAUAUAUAAUCUGUAUUGCUGCAGUCUAUAGUGUAUGUAUACGUACAGCGGUAUAUAUAGUUAAUUCUAAUAAUUAAUUUAUUUAAUAAAUACAUUUAUUUAAUUUUAUCACUGGUAUGCAGGAUGUAUGAUUAAUUGACAGAGGUAUGAAUGAUGAGUAGAUGCCUUUUCUACUUCAAUAUUUUAUCUUUACUCCAUCCCAAAUUGUGAUGGCCCCAGAGAAACAUUUCAUGGUAGUCUUGCUGUGCAAAUGUUUGUGCUCAUGUAUCCUUAUAGGGUGAGAUGGCAAUAAAGUAUCCUGAAUUUUUAA